rnacentral:rRNA from 1 species
CCUGCACUUUGGGAUAAGCCUGGGAAACUGGGUCUAAUACCGAAUAGGACUCCGGCCUUCAUGGGUUGGGGUGGAAAGCUUUUGCGGUGUGGGAUGGGCCCGCGGCCUAUCAGCUUGUUGGUGGGGUAAUGGCCUACCAAGGCGACGACGGGUAGCCGGCCUGAGAGGGUGACCGGCCACACUGGGACUGAGAUACGGCCCAGACUCCUACGGGAGGCAGCAGUGGGGAAUAUUGCACAAUGGGCGCAAGCCUGAUGCAGCGACGCCGCGUGAGGGAUGACGGCCUUCGGGUUGUAAACCUCUUUCAGCACAGACGAAGCGCAAGUGACGGUAUGUGCAGAAGAAGGACCGGCCAACUACGUGCCAGCAGCCGCGGUAAUACGUAGGGUCCGAGCGUUGUCCGGAAUUACUGGGCGUAAAGAGCUCGUAGGUGGUUUGUCGCGUUGUUCGUGAAAACUCACAGCUUAACUGUGGGCGUGCGGGCGAUACGGGCAGACUGG